rnacentral:rRNA from 1 species
AACGAACGCAGGCGGCGUGCCUAACACAUGCAAGUCGAACGAGAAAGUCCUUCGGGAUGAGUAGAGUGGCGCACGGGUGAGUAAUGCAUGAGAACGUGCCUUUUAGUUGGGGAUAACCACGGGAAACUGUGGCUAAUACCGAAUAGUCUCGAGAGAGUAAAGGUGGCCUCCAUUUAUAAGCUAUCGCUAAAAGAUCAGCUCAUGUCCCAUUAGCUAGUUGGUAGGGUAAAGGCUUACCAAGGCGACGAUGGGUAACUGGUCUGAGAGGAUGAUCAGUCACACUGGAACUGAGACACGGUCCAGACUCCUACGGGAGGCAGCAGUGGGGAGUAUUGCACAAUGGAGGAAACUCUGAUGCAGCAACGCCGCGUGGGUGAAGAAGGCUCUUGGGUCGUAAAGCCCUUUCGGCCGGGAAGAAGGGACAGUUGGCUAACAUCCACCUGUUUUGACGGUACCGGAAGAAGAAGCACCGGCUAAUUUCGUGCCAGCAGCCGCAGUAA